rnacentral:rRNA from 1 species
GACGAACGCUGGCGGCGUGCUUAACACAUGCAAGUCGAACGGAAAGGCCCUGCUUUUGUGGGGUGCUCGAGUGGCGAACGGGUGAGUAACACGUGAGUAACCUGCCCUUGACUUUGGGAUAACUUCAGGAAACUGGGGCUAAUACCGGAUAGGAGCUCCUGCUGCAUGGUGGGGGUUGGAAAGUUUCGGCGGUUGGGGAUGGACUCGCGGCUUAUCAGCUUGUUGGUGGGGUAGUGGCUUACCAAGGCUUUGACGGGUAGCCGGCCUGAGCGGGUGACCGGCCACAUUGGGACUGAGAUACGGCCCAGACUCCUACGGGAGGAAGCAGUGGGGAAUAUUGCACAAUGGGCGGAAGCCUGAUGCAGCAACGCCGCGUGCGGGAUGACGGCCUUCGGGUUGUAAACCGCUUUCGCCUGUGACGAAGCGUGAGUGACGGUAAUGGGUAAAGAAGCACCGGCUAACUACGUG